rnacentral:rRNA from 1 species
AUUGAACGCUGGCGGCAUGCCUUACACAUGCAAGUCGAACGUGAAAGCGGGGCAACCCGCAAGUAGAGUGGCGGACGGGUGAGUAAUACAUCGGAACGUGUCCAGUAAUGGGGGAUAACCUAAGCGAAAGUUAGGCUAAUACCGCAUACGAUCUGCGGAUGAAAGCGGGGGAUGCGGCACUAAAAGCUUUUGGUGAAGGUCGCCAAAGGCAGGUCAAGAGC